ensembl:snRNA U6 U6 spliceosomal RNA
GUGUUCACUUUAGCAGCACGUAUACUAAAAUUGGAAAGAUACAGAGAAGGUUAGCAUAGCCCCCACACAAGGAUGACAUGCAAAUUCAUGAAAUGUUCCAUAUUUUU